GAGUUUGAUCCUGGCUCAGAUUGAACGCUGGCGGCAUGCCUUACACAUGCAAGUCGAACGGCAGCACGGGAGCUUGCUCCUGGUGGCGAGUGGCGAACGGGUGAGUAAUGCAUCGGAACGUAUCCUGGAGUGGGGGAUAACGUAGCGAAAGUUACGCUAAUACCGCAUAUUCUGUGAGCAGGAAAGCGGGGGACCUUCGGGCCUCGCGCCCUUGGAGCGGCCGAUGUCGGAUUAGCUAGUUGGUGAGGUAAAGGCUCACCAAGGCGACGAUCCGUAGCAGGUCUGAGAGGAUGAUCUGCCACACUGGAACUGAGACACGGUCCAGACUCCUACGGGAGGCAGCAGUGGGGAAUUUUGGACAAUGGGGGCAACCCUGAUCCAGCCAUGCCGCGUGAGUGAAGAAGGCC
rnacentral:rRNA from 1 species